rnacentral:tRNA from 1 species
AGCAGCGUGGGGAAGUGGUCUAUCCCGUCUGGCUCAUAACCAGAAGAGCGGCGGUUCGAAUCCGCCCGCUGCAACCA